CCAGAAAGUGUACUUCCAAAACUUCCAAGCUUGCCAGCACAAAAUGACACAGACUUUGCUUUGACCUAUAACUCUAAACUCAAAAGCCUAAAUACCCCUAAAUAUCCAGCAAAUGUUCCCCUAAAUGUUGAUAGACACCUCUUGUUUACAGUAGGCCUAGGAAUAAAUCCUUGUUGUUCCCCUAAAUGUUGAUCGACACCUCUUGUUUACAGUAGGCCUAGGAAUAAAUCCUUGUCCCACCUGUUUAAAUGGAACUCGGCUAACAGCUUCUCUCAACAACAUUACCUUUAGCAUGCCUCAAACUGCACUUCUUCAAGCUCAUUACUUCAAUAUUAAGGG
rnacentral:lncRNA from 1 species